rnacentral:rRNA from 1 species
CCUACGGGUGGCAGCAGUGAGGAAUAUUGGUCAAUGGACGGAAGUCUGAACCAGCCAUGUCGCGUGCAGGAAGACGGCUCUAUGAGUUGUAAACUGCUUUUGUACAAGGGUAAACCUGAAUACGUGUAUUCAGAUGAAAGUACUGUAAGAAUAAGGAUCGGCUAACUCCGUGCCAGCAGCCGCGGUACGACGGAGGAUCCAAGAGUUAUCCGGAUUUAUUGGGUUUAAAGGGUGCGUAGGCGGAUUGAUAAGUUAGAGGUGGACUGUCCGAGCUUAACUCGGGAACUGCCUCUAAUACUGUUGAUCUAGAGAAUAGAUGCGGUAGGCGGAAUGUAUUGUGUAGCGGUGAAAUGCUUAGAGAUCAUACAGCACACCGAUUGCGAAGGCAGCUUACCAAUCUAUCUCUGACGUUGAGGCACGAAAGCGUGGGGAGCAAACAGGAUUAGAUACCCUGGUAGUC